GUGGACAGGAGGCAGGACUAGAUUGCAGCUCCCACUCGGAUGGACAGAGCAGCAUGUGGUCUUGCAUCGUGAACUUUUGCUCCAGAACUACUGCAGGAAUAAUUCAGGAAAGUCAAGAGAAUCCACAGGCCCUCUGAAGGAAGUGGAUUGCUCCUGUAGGACCCGGGAGAUGCCCCAAAUACUGUGAGUGUCCAAACUGUGGAAGUAGGAAAGGGGGAUUGUUCACCUCCAAACACACAACCUUACUGGGGAACCUGAAGGUCUAGAUCAUGGGAGAAGAUUCUGACCUUUUCUGGAGCUGAGUCAAUUUAGAGAACCAAGUGAAAUACAGGGUUAGAGGAAGUAGCAGGAAAAGCCCUGUGGGCUCUUUGGGUUCCCAAGGAAGCCAUUUCUGACUUGUCUCACAGGGCUACCUGGGGAGGACUGCCAGAGGAAUUCGGAAAAGAUCACAGGUAGAAGGAAAACUCCAGCUGAACUUUGUAACAAUUCCAACUGAAUAGGAAAUCUCCUGGCCAGAACUUGGGGGAAGGCAUGAAUCUGGUGGGCAGACUCCACAGGCAGGGAAACACAAAAGCACUAGUUGCUUUUGCAGGUGGGAGGCUGGUAGCCUGGGGCAAGUUCUCAGCCCUGUUUGCCCACUGCCUGGAGACAGACUUGGUGCUACUGGGUUGGGGGCACGGUGCAAGUAAGAUCAAUCUUCUGGGUUUCGUGGAAGCUGGGUGAGGUCUGUGACUCCCAGUUUUCCCCCACUUCCCUGACAACCUACAUGACACAGCAGAGGUAGCCAUAAUCCUCCUGGGAACAUAAUUCCAUUUACCUGGGAACCACACCUCCAUCCCCCAGAGCAGCUGUAGCAAGACUCGCCCAAGGAGAGUCUGAGCUCAGACAUGCCUAGCCCUGCCCCGACCUGAUGGUCCUUUCCUACCCACCCUGGUAGCUGAAGACAAAGGGCAUAUACUCUUGGGAGUUCUAGGGCCCCACCUACCACCUGAUCCUCCCCAUACUGCUACAGCUGUUGCUCUCUUGAAAGUGCCACCUCCUGGCGGGAGGGGCCAACCAGCACAAAAGUAGUGCAUUAAAUGACCAAAACUAAGCACCCUCACAGAGUCCAUCUCACUCCCCUGCUACCUCUACCAGAGCAGGUGCUGGUAUCCACAGCUGAGAGACCCACAGAUGGUUCACAUCACAGGACUCUGUGCAGACAACCCCCAGUACCAGCCUGGAACCUAGUAGGCCUGCUGGGUGUCUAGAUCCUAAAAAGAGAUAACAAUCACUACAGCUUGAGGUCUCAGGAAGCCACAUCCCUAGGAAAAGGGGUAGAGUACUACAUCAAGAGAACACCCCAUAGGACAAAAGAAUUUGAACAACAGCCUUGAGGCCUAGACCUUCCCUCUGACAGAACCUACCCAAAUGAGAAGGAACCAGAAAACCAACUCUGGUAAUAUGACAAAACAAGGUUCUUUAACAUCCCCCACAAAAUCACAUUAGCUCACCAGCAGUGGAUCUAAACCAAGAAGAAACCCCUGAUCUACCUGAAAAAGAAUUCAGAAGGUCAGUUAUUAAGCUCAUCAAGGAGGCACCAGAGAAAGGCAAAGCCCAAUUUAAGGAAAUCAAAUAAAUGAUAUGAGAAAUGAGGGGAUAAAUCUUCAAUGAAAUAGCAUAAAUAAAAAACAAUAAAAACUUCAGGAAACAAUGGAUGCACUUAUAGAAAUGCAAAAUGCUCUGGAAAGUCUCAGCAAUAGAAUCGAACAAGCAGAAAAAAGAAAUUCAGAGCCUGAAGACAAGGUUUUUGAAUUAACCCCAUCCAACAAAGGCAAAGAAUAAAAGAAUACUAAAGUAUGAACAAAGCCUCCAAGAAGUCUGGGAUUAUGUUAAAUGAGCAAAUCUAAAAAUAAUUGGUGUUCCUGAGGAAGAAGAGAAAUCUAAAAGUUUGGAAACAUAUUUGGGCAAUAAUUGAGAGAAACUACCCCACCCUUGUUAGAGACCUAGAUAUCCAAAUACAAGAAGCUCAAAGAACACCUGGGAAAUUCAUCACAAAAAGAUCAUAGCCUAGGCGCAUUGUCAUCAGAUUAUCUAAAGUUAAGACGAAGGAAAGAAUCUUAAGAGCUGUGAGGCGAAACAAGAUGGCGGGCUCGUGGUGAGAAGCUGUCAAGGAGUAGAAAUUGGUAUGCCUAGAAGCAGAUGUUAAAAGCAGUUUCUCUUCAGAACAUCUUUUUUCAUACCACUUGAUAAGCAUCUUGAAACACCAUGGCUGUAGCUGCAGUAAAAUGGGUGAUGUCAAAGAGAACUAUCUUGAAACAUUUAUUUCCAAUUCAAAAUGGAGCUUUAUAUUGUGUUUGUCAUAAAUCUAUGUAUUCUCCUCUACCAGAUGACUAUAAUUGCAACGUAGAGCUUGCUCUGACUUCUGAUGGCAGGACAAUAGUAUGCUACCACCCUUCUGUGGACAUUCCAUACGAACACACAAAACCUAUCCCUCGGCCAGAUCCUGUGCAUAACAAUGAAGAAACACAUGAGCAAGUGCUGAAAACCAGACUGGAAGAAAAAGUUGAACACCUUGAGGAAGGACCUAUGAUAGAGCAACUUAGCAAAAUGUUCUUUACUACUAAGCACCGUUGGUAUACUCAUGGACAGUAUCACAGACAUCGUAAGAAUCUGAAUCCUCCAAAAGACAGAUGAUGCUGAGGUUCCUGGGGGAAUCAAAGAGAAAUGUGCCUCAUUUGCCAUUUGAGAAAAUGUAGUCUGGUGUAUUCACUAAUAUACAGUAAAGUAAUAAUGAUAAAAUAUCUUUUCAUAUAUUAGAAUGUGUACUUGUAUAUAAAGUAAUUCUGGAUUUGGCAUUCUUAUUUAGAGAAACCUAUUUUCUUUUUUUCUUUUUCGAUUUUAGUCUUUCAUUUAUGUACGGUCUCCAAUUUAGGACUUUUCUGUAGUGCCAAAGCCAUACAUAUUCAGUAGAAUAUCAAAUUACAUCAGAAAUUCAACACUUUACUAUAAAACGGGCUUUGUGUUAGAUAAUUUUGCUCAACUGUAGGCUACUGUAAGUGUUCUGAGCAUAUUUAAGACAGGCUAGCAUUUGCAAUUUAUAAUAUUUUCAACUGAUAGUAGGUUUAUUGGGAUGUAACCCUACCAUAAGUUGAGAAACAUCUCUUUUUGGGUGUCUACUGUGAUUUAAGUAUUUUUAAUCAUCAGCAAAACAUUGUUAGUAGUGUAAAUAUGAUUAAUAAAAAGGUGCAUAGCUUUCAUGAAGGAGAUUUUUGAAUUGCCUUUGAGAAUAAACUCAUACAGUCUACCAAGAAAAUAAAUGUUGUAAUGUUUCAGUUGUCUUCUAGGAAAUAAUUAAAUUAGUGAUAUUUUAAUCAGGUUUUACUAUCUGCUAGGCCCCUUCCAUCCAUUCUUAUUAAAUUCUCAAAAUACUCCUUUGAAGGAGUAUAAUUACUUCUACCAAAAAAGUGGGAGAGCCAGGAGCCAAACUAUCAGGCUCCAAAGCUUUUUUCAGUGCAUCACAAUGACAAAGGGGUGGUUUUCUUUCACCCAAGAAUGUGCUUUCCUAGAAAUUUUUCUAGAUAGAAUAUUAUGUAAUUUGUUUUGAGGGUUUUUUUUUCCUGGCUGUCUUAAAGAUUAUGCUAGCUUUAGAACACAUGUGAACAGCUGCAGCUCUGUGAUUAAAACGUUAAGGUCACUAGACUGGUGUUAUGAGAAUGUUAAUAGGUAAUUCUGCUGCCUCUAUUAGCUUAUAUGUGAUCCUUAAUAGCAUUGCUUCCCCUUCAGUUUCUAUUUAGGAAGUGAAGAAUCUUUUAAUAAGGUAGAAAGCUUGCUUUAUUUAAAUUUGUACUGUAGAAUGUUUGUGAUACAGUAUUUGUAAAAUUGGUGUGAAAAAUAAUUUCUCACUCAAAGUCUAUUGUUUGAUAUAGUUCUUUUAAUAAAGGAACUCUAGUUGAAGUUUCAAGUGGCCAGUGAAGUGUGAGGAAUAGUGACUAGGAGAGAGUAAAGGAAAUAAUAAUGUUGACCCUCUGUUACCCAAAGGAAAUAUUUUUAAGUGGUUUACUUUUUCCAUUAAUGUAAAUUUCAUUUGGAAACAUUAAAAAAACAAGUUUGAUUGAACUUGAUAAAUCAGAAAUAUU